UUUGGGAGAGAACACCUAUCAGACAGCAGGGAAAAUGCAGACAAGCACUCGGAGUUCUCCACGGAAAUGAUGAUGCAGGCCCCUGGAAAAUGCCGACUGUCUUCUCCUCUGUCCAGCCUGCCCGUCUAGCCAUGCUUUUUAGGAUCAGCUUAAAAGACCGGUCUAUUUUUGGGAGAUUGUCCAGUGGCCAGCCCACCUGCUGUGACCUGACAUCCCAACUUGACAAGACUUCUCUAGCCUGGUUCCCCUAAGGCAGUCUUCUCUGGGUACCAGAAUGAUCAGCAUGUGAUAGCGCUCUAUUUCAUAUUUCUGAGAAGACUCUGCACUCUGCUCAGAGUGAGAUGGUUGCAGGAGAUCUGAAAGAAGAAAAGAAGUGAAUACUGUGUUGAU
rnacentral:lncRNA from 1 species